rnacentral:piRNA from 1 species
UGACAGUGUCUCAGAGAGUGGCU